AUAUAACCAUAAACUAAUCAAAUUAGGGUUUUAAGAAAUAUUACCUUUGAAGCUUUCAAAAGGUUUGAUAUCUUCUUACCAAUUCUAACCGAGACCACCACUAGUACUCAACUGCUAUCCUCUAGACAAAGAACCGGGUUGUGGGACCCAAUUUUGGUGUAGAAAGUAACGGAGAUAAAAUGAGAUUGGAAGCUUUCUUUUUUCUUUUGUCGAGAUGAUGAAAAUGAUAAAAGAGGCAAAAGUUCUUCAACAUUUGAAAACACCACUAUUUAUAACCUAAUUACAUGAAAAAAUGCAUGCAAUUCAUUUGCCAAAUCUCAACACCUAAUGUUCCACUAACAAUUAGUGGAACUUAGUGGGCUAGGUGUCUAUAUCUCAUAUAGCCACAUAUCCCACUAAGAGUUAGUGGGAUUAUCCAACAAAAUGUUGGAUUUUCCCACUAACUUAGUCCAAGGGUAAAAUGGUCAUUAGAUAUUUCUAGUCAAAAGUCAAACUUUGACUUUUCUUAGUCAAAAGUCAAUAUUUUGACUUUUUACCAUUUUGUCCGUCUUGACUAAUUCCAACCUCCCGAGCAUGAAUCCGCAUUCAUUUUUCCAAAAUUCAAAUCACAUUUGAAUAUAAGGCCGGUCAAAGUUUGACUUUGAAAAGUCAAAAAGUCAACAUUUUGACUUUUUACUAUUUUUGACCAAUUCCGAGCUUCUUAGUAUGAAUCCGCAUUCAUACUUAUAGUAUGUAAAACAUAAAGCUCUAUUUCUAAUUAGAAGACCGCCGACUAUAUCACUAUAUUUGUCGUUUCCCUUUCUUCUCCCAAUUCGAACAAUUCGACUUAUUUCAUCACACUGUUCUAAGUUUAAUCCAUAUGAGCUAGCAGAGGAACCUAAUGGACCUAUAGAUCAUGGGCUCCAACGAUUCAAGAUUAACUAGCUAAACUCUUUUAAACCUAGUUAAUCAACAUUCGUUAACUAACAGGUCAUUCCACUAAAGUCCCGUAGUUGCACUCCCCUCACUAUAGAUAUAUUUGUCCAUUUGAUAAAACCAUAAUCAGUAAGUUAAUCCUUCACAGGUUGCUCGUAACCUUGGCUGGGUCAAAAUACCAUUUUACCCCCAAGAUUACAUCUUGCUCCUUAAGUCCCACUAAUCCACUAUUGAACAAUUGGUUUAAGGUUCAACCUAUAAACUUAAUCUCUCUCGGGCCAAUGAGAGGGUGGGGCCCCUUGUUCUAGACUUGGAUUCAGUGCUUAAGAGAGCAACCUAUCUACUAACCCUAAAGCAGGUAGGAGUGAAUUCCAUCUUGUACCCUAUGUUCCCAGCUAUCCACCCGAUCUUACCCCUGAAAUGGGAGGCUUAUUGGGCCAACGCUGAUGAGCUGCCCUCACCUAUGCAGAUCUAAGGAUAAUCUCGUGUGAACAGGAGUUCAUAGUUAACUCAGGAUUAAGACUAAGUUACCUAGGUCAUCAAUAAUUGAGAUAGUCAGUUUUAAACAGUAAACGGUGUUAUAACGUAAAAAUGACUAAUUCAUGGUUCAGUCUUAUGUAAACAUUUUACAUAGGAUGCCCCCACUUUCAUGUCUCUACAUGAACGAUUAGGAUCACCUCGUUUGUACUAAAAAGUGGGCCGCAUCCAUAGUUUCUCUAAAUAAGGCGCCCAACCUUUAUUUCAUAUACUAUAGACUAUUUAGGCUAUAUACUCGAACUUGAUCCACGUUUAUGUUUACACAUAAAGUUCAAGUUUAUUCAAAAAAAUAGCCUUGGAACUUGAUUUAUUGGAUUUAAGAUUAUAAUAUUUAAUUUCUCAAUAACAAAUUUAUUGAACAGAAUAUGAUUUACAAACUACGAGUUUUAGGACAAAAAAUUCCAACAAGGUCUAGUACAUAACAUUGCAUACAUUAAACUUCCAACAGCGGAAGCAUAGGGAAUAUUUCUCAUAUCCUCAACUUCUUGAGGUGUCUUAGGACAUUGUUCCUUUGACAAAUGAAUUCCAUAUCUGUACGGCAGCAGACCCUUUUUGGAAUUCUGCAUUUUAUAUCUAGACAACAUUUUGUCUAUGUAAGAUGCUUGAGACAUGGCUAGUGUUUUGUUCUUACGGUUUCGAACAAUUUGGAUUCCGAGAACGUAUUGUGCAUCUCCCAGAUCUUUCAUUUGAAAUUGCAUAGCUAGCCAUUUCUUGAUAUCAGUAAGAUAUCCUACGUCAUUUCCAAUAAGUAGAAUAUCAUCUACAUAUAAGACUAAAAAUGCUAUAAUGGAAUUGACGACCUUUUUGUAAACACAAGGCUCGUCAACAUUUUGUUCAAAGCCAUAAGAUUUGAUCGCAGUAUCAAAUCUUAUAUUCCAGGAUCUAGAAGCUUGUUUUAAUCCAUAAAUGGAUUUUUUAAGCUUACAAACCUUUUGUUCUUGAUCUUGUUCUAUAAACCCCUCUGGUUGAGACAUAUAGAUACUCUCUUCAAGAUUACCGUUCAAAAAAGCUGUCUUGACAUCCAUCUGCCAAAUUUCAUAAUCAUAAAAAGUGGCGAUGGAUAAGAGUAUUCUAAUUGACUUUAACAUGGCAACGGAGAGAAAGUUUCCUCAUAGUCUACUCCCUCUCUCUGGUAUAACCCUUUGCCACAAGUCGAGCCUUAAAAGUCUGUACUUUACCGGCAUGGUCUCGUUUUCUCUUGUAGAUCCAUUUACAACCAAUAGGUUUUACGUCAUUUGGUUGAUCUACUAGAGUCCAGACAGAAUUAAAGUACAUAGACUCCAUUUCGAGGUCCAUGGCUUUGAUCCAUUGGUCACGAUCUACAUCUUUCAUUGCCUGUUUAUAGGUUAAUGGAUCCUCUAUGCCAUCGUCAGGUAUGACGACUUGAGUUUCAAUUAAACCCAAAUAGCGAUCAGGCUGAUGAACAACCCUCCCACUACGUCGAGGCUCUCUCAACUGUUGAGAAGGAUGUGAUUGACCAGAUUUCCUAGUCUUAUCAACUACCUUAGUGGAUGAACUAGGUUUAUCUAUAGCACUUUUGGAAAUUUCUUUUAAUACUAGUUUACUACGAGGUUGAUGAUCCCUGAUGUGGUCUUCCUCUAAGAAUGUGGCAUUUGUUGACACAAAUAUUUUAUUUUCUUGAGGAUCAUAAAACAAACCACCUCUUGAUUCUUUUGGAUAACCUAUGAAAAAGCAUAAUUUUGAACGAUGUUCCAAUUUCUUAGGAUUUUGUACCAACACGUGUGCUGGACAACCCCAAAUUCUAAAAUGACGUAAACUUCCUUUACGCCCUUUCCAUAGCUCAUAAGGUGUUUCUGAAACACUUUUAGAGGGAACAUUAUUCAAAAUAUAAGCAGCUGUUUCUAAAGCAUAUCCCAAAAAGAAUCUGACAUCUGAGAAAAACUCAUCAUAGAGCGAACCAUGUCUAACAAGGUCCGGUUUCUUCUUUCUGAUACACCGUUCUGUUGAGGUGUACUAGGUGCAGAGAGUUGUGACUGGAUUCCAUUUUCUAUUAAAUAGUCUCGGAAUCGUAAGUCCAUAUACUCUCCACCUCGAUCUGAUCGAAGUAUUUUUAUUGUUUUACCUAAUUCGUUUUCUACUUCAGCCUUAUAUUCUUUGAACUUUUCAAGACUAUUAGACUUAUGAUGUAUUAGGUAAAUAUGACCAUACCUUGAAUAAUCAUCAAUGAAGCUAAUGAAAUAUUCAUAUCCACCUCGAGCUUUGACAUUCAUUGGUCCACAAAGGUCCGAAUGUACGAGCUCUAAGGGUCCUUUGGCUCUUAGACCUUUUCCAGUAAAAGAUCUCUUGGUCAUUUUUCCUUCAAGACAAGAUUCACAAGGAGGUAAAGUAUUAUUUCUAACGACUUAGAAGCCCACUUUUAACUAAUCUCCCAAUCCUAUUGAGAUUUAUGUGACCAAGUCUUAAGUGCCAUAAAUAGGCAUUAGAAGAAACUUUUUGUCUUUUAUUCUGAGUUUCAGCUGUUCUGAAUAUUUCAGUAUUUAAGACAAAAUUUGCUCUGGUUGGUCUUAACUUAUAUAAGUUGUCUUCAAGUAUAGCAGAACAAACUAGAAUACCUUUAUAGAAAACGAACGCUUCAUUAAUUUCAAAAGAUAUUCUAUACAUUUGUUCCAAAAUACAAGAGAUAGAUAUUAAAUUUCUUUUCAUUUGAGGUACAUAUAAGACAUUCUUAAGUAUGACAUAUCUAUCUCUAAAAAACAACUUUAAAUCUCCCACUGCUGAAGUGAGACCAUCUCUCCUGUUCCAACCUUGAGAGUGAUCUCGCCUUCUGAAAGCUUUUUCAAGAACUAUUUUCCUGAAAUGAGAAGCAAAUAUGGUUAGUGGCUCCUGAAUCUAGUAUCCAGGUACAAUUUUCAUAUUCCACUAAACAUGUUUCUACAACUAGUAAAUCAUAUUUACCUUGUGUUUCCUUCUCUGCCUUUUUUUCUGCAAGGUAUUUUGGGCAGUUUCUUAACCAGUGCCCGUUUUGGCCACAAUGGUAACACUUACCUUUUUCUGCACCUUUCUUACCCUUGUUCUGUUUGGGAGUCUUUCCCUUUCCCUUCUUUUUUAUUUGAGCAUUAGGUUUUGAGGGUCCAGCUUUGGUUUUAGAGGACGAUCCUCUUAUAAAUUUUCUUUUUGUGGUAGCAACAUUUGCUUCCACUUGUUUUCCUUUACCCAUAGUAAGGUUUUGGAAUCGCUGGAGUUCAUUCAGAAGGGUUGUCAAGUUAAAUUCUAUCUUGUUCAAAGACGCAUUCGUUUGGAAUGGAAUGAAGCUCUUCGGAAGAGACUCUAAGAUAAAACUAACUUGAUUAACCUCUUCGAUGGGACCACCAUUCACUUCAGCGAUGUUGAAGUGCAUCAUCAUGUCCAGAACAUGUUCUCUAACAGAGGUCCCUUCCUUCAUACGCUUAGUGUAAAUGUAUUUGACUGCCUCGUGUCUUAAGGACAUUCUGGUUGCCCAAACAUUCCCCUUAAUGAAUCCAUAAUCUCUUUAGCCGUGGCUAAGGAUUCAUGUUUCUUUGCCAAUACAUCAGACAUGCUGGCAAGAAUGUAGACACGGCUUUUUCAUUAGCUUUUAUCCAUCGAUCAUAUGCAUCCCGACUAGUUCGGUUAGCAUUAGAGGCAGGGUUUUGAGGACAUUCCUCAGUUAAGACAAAUCUUAAAUCGUCAACCACUAGUAUUGUGUUAAGAUUUGAUUUCCAAGCCGCAUAAUUAUCGCCAUUAAGUUUUUCGGAAGCUAAAAGUUGAACUAUUGAGCUAUUCAUGCUGAAAAACAAACAUAUUCUUUUUAGGAAAAAACUAUAAUCAUAAAAAAUAUCCAAUCUAAUUUAGCAAUUACUAAUAAUGUACCCUUUCAUUAUUUGUAUUUUGCAACAAUAUUUCAAAGGUUUAGAACAACCUUCUCCGAAGGGUAGUUGAUUAUUCCUCCUUUGAACCAAGACAAUCUUGACUAGAUGCUAUCUCUAGAAUAACUGCUUAUUCUUUAUAGCACUUAGUUAUCGCUACUUUAGUCAAGAAUAUACUAACAACUUAGUAAUUCUUGUAAGUGUUACCCACCAUUUUCAGAUUUCAUAGAUUAGAAUCAUUUAUGAAAACUAAUCUAAGAAAACCUAUCCAGAUUUGGAGUUCGCGGUGUUCCGAAUCCUAUAAUACAACCCUCCGAAGGGAACGUCGCUCCAGGGCAGACAAGCAGGCAUAUUAUAGAAAUCUCACGGUGCGACCUAAUGGAAGAGACCGUGGAUGUGCUGCCACAAAUCCCUCACCCACUUACUAUGAACUACUUCCCCUAUUCACCUUGAUUUUGAUCCAUGCAAACACUCUCCGAAGGGAGGCCGCUCCUAUGCACGGCACAAAGCCCUGCAUGGACCUCACGGUGUGAACUCUUAGGGACACUAGAGCUAAAAUACAUUAUUUUUCUCUAGUUGAAGUGUUCUAAAAGAAGAAAAAAAAUAGGGUAAUCCAAGCUUCAAGAUUUAUAUUUAGGCUAACUUAAACAAAUCUUUAAGUCUAGAUAAAACAUCCAAGUAUAACCAUUAUACAGGAUUUUAACCUAUGAUGUCUAGGUGUAAACCAUUUUUAUUACCUCACACCUCUCACGAAUGCUCAUAAAACUAGGUUAACUAGGCUCAAGAACUGAUUACGAUCUCCAGGUAGGAGGUGUUCCGUAAACCGUCAACUUAAGAACCUCCAACCUUAGUCAUCUUAUCUGACUUGUUGACAAGAUUGAACCAGGUGAGCCUUUUGUAACCAGUUUUACAAGAUAUCGACCUAUUUCUAUGAAAAAUGGAAGAUAUGUUUAACCUAAGUGAGCAUGCAUUUAAUCUUUGUUAUUGAUUUUAAAAGUCUAAUUUAUUUUAUAACACUUAUAAAAACUUUUAACUUAAUCAAUCAUUUUAUCAAUAUAUAACCUUAUAAAAACAAUCAAUUAAUAUGGAUUUUAAUUUAUUUAACUUUAAUUAAAUCAUAUUUAAUUUUUAAUUUAAUUAAAUCAUAUUUAAUUAAAUUAAAUCAAACAAUAAUUAAUUAAUUUGAUUAAAUCAUAUUUAAUCAAGAAUAACUUAAUUAAUUAAAUAAUUAAUUAAUCAUAUUAAUUAAUUUCCAUAUUAAUCAAUCAUAUUAAUUAAUUUCCAUAUUAAUCAAUUAACAUGCAUACAAUACAAUAUAACCUUUAUAUCAUACAUUUUAAUGCAUGAACAUGUUAACCUAUGGUGGAUUUUAAAUCUAUAUGACAUUCAAAUGCACAUACAAAUUUAAAGUAAUUUAAUCAUACAUCACAUGCAUAAAUAAAAAAACACCCUAAAAUGGACUGAUUUUUGGCUCCUAAAUUAAGCUAAGUACUAAAUUAUUACAUAAUUAAUUUGGUGUAGUACAGAACCACUCCAAAACAUCGAACCUGCCCAAAAACCAAAUUUAUUGGCUUGAACCGGGCCAAUUAACUAAACAGGCCCAGGCGCACACAGGUCAGGCGCAGGUGGGCGCGCGGGCACGCGGGCGCAGGCGGGUCGCGAAGCGGGUCAAGGCCGGGUUUUCGGUCUGUGACCUUCUUUUCUUCAUUUUUUUCAAUUCUCUCACCCGGUUGAACCAAUUACAGCCUAACUUCAACUCUAAUGAUUUUUUUUAUUUUAAAAAAAAUUACAAAACACUUUGCAACAAUAAAAAUAAGCCAUUAACAAGGCUAAUUACAAUAAUUAAACAAAAACACUUAACCUAGAGCCAAAAUCAUAAUAUAUCCAUUUUAGUUCAAACCAAAAUUUAUCUAAUAAAUAUGAACCCACCACAUGCAAUUGGGUAAAAAUGAAGCAUGCUCUGAUACCACAUGAUAGAACUAAGUCAUGCACAGCGGAAAAAGAAUCGAAUUUCUACCCUAAUUGCCACAAUUAACAUGUAACCAUAAAUUAAUCAAAUUAGGGUUUUAGGAAAUAUUACCUUUGAAGCUUUCAAAAGGUUUGAUAUCUUCUUACCAAUUCUAACCGAGACCACCACUAGUACUCAACUGCUAUCCUCUUGACAAAGAACCGGGUUGUGGGACCCAAUUUUGGUGUAGAAAGUAAUGGAGAUAAAAUGGGAUUGGAAUGUUUCUUUUUUUUCUUUUGUUGAGAUGAUGAAAAUGAUAAAAGAGGCAAAAGUUCUUCAACAUUUGAAAACACCUCUAUUUAUAACCUAAUUACAUGCAAAAAUGCAUGCAAUUCAUUUGCCAAAUCUCAACACCUAAUGUUCCACUAACAAUUAGUGGAACUUAGUGGGCUAGGUGUCUAUCUCAUAUAGCCACAUAUCCCACUAAGAGUUAGUGGGAUUAUCCAACAAAAUGUUG
rnacentral:lncRNA from 1 species